AGCGAACGCUGGCGGCAGGCUUAACACAUGCAAGUCGAGCGGGCGUAGCAAUACGUCAGCGGCAGACGGGUGAGUAACGCGUGGGAACGUACCUUUUGGCUCGGAACAACUGAGGGAAACUUCAGCUAAUACCGGAUAAGCCCUUACGGGGAAAGAUUUAUCGCCGAAAGAUCGGCCCGCGUCUGAUUAGCUAGUUGGUGAGGUAAUGGCUCACCAAGGCGACGAUCAGUAGCUGGUCUGAGAGGAUGAUCAGCCACAUUGGGACUGAGACACGGCCCCAACUCCUACGGGAGGCAGCAGUGGGGAAUAUUGGACAAUGGGGGCAACCCUGAUCCAGCCAUGCCGCGUGAGUGAUGAAGGCCCUAGGGUUGUAAAGCUCUUUUGUGCGGGAAGAUAAUGACGGUACCGCAAGAAUAAGCCCCGGCUAACUUCGUGCCAGCCGCCGCGGUAAAAC
rnacentral:rRNA from 1 species